UACGUAGGGGCUAGCGUUAUCCGGAAUUACUGGGCGUAAAGGGUGCGUAGGUGGUUUCUUAAGUCAGAGGUGAAAGGCUACGGCUCAACCGUGGUAAGCCUUUGAAACUGGGAAACUUGAGUGCAGGAGAGGAGAGUGGAAUUCCUAGUGUAGCGGUGAAAUGCGUAGAUAUUAGGAGGAACACCAGUCGCGAAGGCGGCUCUCUGGACUGUAACUGACACUGAGGCACGAAAGCGUGGGGAGCAAACAGGAUUAGAUACCCCGUACGUCCCUCGAGCGGG
rnacentral:rRNA from 1 species